rnacentral:rRNA from 1 species
UACGAAGGGGGCUAGCGUUGUUCGGAAUUACUGGGCGUAAAGCGUGCGCAGGCGGUUCUAUAAGACAGAUGUGAAAUCCCCGGGCUACAACCUGGGAUUGCAUUUGUGACUGUAGAGCUAGAGUACGGUAGAGGGGGAUGGAAUUCCGCGUGUAGCAGUGAAAUGCGUAGAUAUGACGGAGGAACACCGAUGGCGAAGGCAAUCCCCUGGACCUGUACUGACGCUCAUGCACGAAAGGCGUGGGGAGCAAACAGG